GACGAACGCUGGCGGCGUGCCUAAUACAUGCAAGUCGAACGCAGUGGGGACGGGUGAGUAACACGUGGGUAACCUCCCAUCAGAGGGGAUAACACUUGGAAACAGGUGCUAAACCGAUACUGAUGGAUGGAACCGCGGUGCAUUAGCUCGGUGGUGAGGUAACGGCUCACCAAGGCCACGAUGCAUAGCCGGCCUGAGAGGUGUGUCGGCCACACUGGGACUGAGACACGGCCCAGACUCCUACGGGAGGCAGCAGUAGGGAAUCGUCGACAAUGGACGAAAGUCUGACCGAGCAACGUCGCGUGAGUGAAGAAGGUUUUCGGAUCGUAAAACUCUGUUGUUAGAGAAGCGGUAUCUAACCAGAAAGCCACGGCUAACUACGUGCCAGCCGCCGCGGUAAUAC
rnacentral:rRNA from 1 species